UACGGAGGGAGCUAGCGUUGUUCGGAAUUACUGGGCGUAAAGCGCACGUAGGCGGCUUUGUAAGUUAGAGGUGAAAGCCCGGGGCUCAACUCCGGAACUGCCUUUAAGACUGCAUCGCUUGAAUCCAGGAGAGGUGAGUGGAAUUCCGAGUGUAGAGGUGAAAUUCGUAGAUAUUCGGAAGAACACCAGUGGCGAAGGCGGCUCACUGGACUGGUAUUGACGCUGAGGCGCGAAAGCUAGGGGAGCAAACGGG
rnacentral:rRNA from 1 species